CUUUCAUACACUAUUAGGGUUUGAAUGUUGAAGUAUGUAUGAUAGAAAAAUCCUUUAUGGGUUCUGAGAUAAAAUUUGGGAUUUAGGUCUCCGCUUAACUUUACCCAGUGUGUCUACUCGUAGAUUGAAUCCCUAGUUUUCCAAUUCCAUGAUAAUCUGAACCUAAUCUCUCAAUCAAUACACAUUACCUAACAUCUUUGAUCCAUCGCACUCUCUAUUAUGCAUUUUUUUUUGUUUGUUUUUGAAGCAACUUCACUCAAUCAUCUCUUCUUUAACUCAAAAACCCACGAAAGAUGUAUAAUAAGGCGAGAUUUAAUCUCCUUUUAGAAAACUUCUUGAUUGAAUUUACGGUUUCUGAAAUGCUAGUAUCAUUUUCCUUGAAAGUCUCUGUGGCUAACCUAUUCUAAUUGGCUAUCUUUUUAUCCGCUAUUUCGGUUAGUGGCUUCAACAGAUUGAAUUUGAAUUUUAUUGCUUCCAUUCAGAAUGAGAUUGAGACAAGCAUCACAUACUCCAAUCACAUAUGCAGUUGAUCAGAGAUCCCCUUUAGGAAUAUCAAGUUUGCCAUAAUCACUACAGCCUUCAUGGGUUCUUCUCUUGGUUUUCGGCAGGUCUCUCCAAGCAUAACCACUACAAAACUCAGAUAAGCAUUGUUGCUUAGCAUAUGUGGGGGGUCAAAUAAUGGUGUUAGCAAUGUGCACCAUUUCUGUUUUCGAUUUGUGCAGUUUCUGUGCUAGAACUGAAAAGGCUUGUCUUUAAGGCGAUGAUUUCAACAAUUUGGAUGCUGACUUAUGUUGUUAUCAAGAAGCAACUGGAGUAAGUGCCGGAAGAACAAGAAAGACGAGAGAUACAACAUAGCUUAUUUGAGAAAGCUACAUGCUAUAGAAAGGCAGGCAAUAUUGAUGCAACACUUAAAAGUAAAAAGGAUAAUCUCAGUCUUCGGGACUCAUCUAUUAUGACUAACCCCGGGAUAAGCUUAUCUGAAAAAUGCCGUUAGUUUCUUGGGAGAUAAAUGAUUUGCAGAUUUUGUUGAUGUUUUCCCCUUUCCUUGGUUUUGUUUGCUUUGCCUUGUCUUUGUUCUCUUAAUGUUUUAUUGGUUUUGAUAAUUGAAUGAUUUGUUCUGCUGUGGCAUGGUUAGCUCUAAGUUUUAACCGAUGAUAGUACUCAGCUUGGUGAUUAAAGACGGGGAAUUCAUACCGGUCACUGAGAAUUUAAACUUACUUUUCCUAUUAUGCACUGUAGAGCACUUUGGUUAUCUCUUUGAAAUGUAAAAUAUUAGGCCACCUAUAUGUGAAAUAUGGAAGUUUGUAUCUUCUGGAUUGUCUUCUGCUUGUUUUGUUGGUUUCAUUAGCUUGAAGUUGUUUCCCAAGAUUAUGGAGCUUCUCCGGUAAAUUUUGACUUAAAGUUCGUUUGCUGCUUAGUUUUGAAUGAGUAAUGAUCUGCGUGUACGUGGUAGUGCUGUAUGAAUUAUGGCAGUAUUUGCAUCAUGAUUUCCCAACUUUAGAUUUUGUUUGGUGUUCUGUCUUGCUUCCAUCUUCAUUAAAUGUUAUCACUGUACGUUGUUAGCAAACAAACUCAUAGAAAAUAACUGAAUAUAAGGUUGUUGUACACGCUGAGAUCGAUUGUUCAUGUGAUUAAUUUUGUCGUCCAACUGACAUAUGUGUCAUUCAUUAUGCAGGAAAUGCAAUCUGAAAUGCUCUUGCAUCUGGCCAGGUAGCUUCUGAACAUAUAUGGAGUAGCUGCUAUUCCUUACCUGUUUUCAGGACGGUGGCUAACAUGAUGAUAAAGCGAAUGGGGAAGUUGCUCCAUCUCUCAUUUUAGAGCUACUGGAGAAUAAGGAGAUAGAUAAAGAAGAUGAACAUGAAAAGCUUUUAAAAUCUAGAUUAUAAAAUGCUAAGUCUUAAUUAUAUACAUAUAGCUUGUUUUGUUGUUUCGUGUUUCAACUCUAUUAUUUGUUCGAGUAUUCCAACUCUCACAUUUUGGUUAUUGAUAUUUUUAGUCUUACAAUUCUCUCUUCAAACAACAACAGGAGAUAAAGAAGCAAUGGCUCUUGGGUAAUAAUGAUAUUAGAGAAAGCAAAGAAGCAAUUCUGUCUUGCAAACAGGGGGGACUAGUGAUAAGCUGGUUAUAGUAAAGAUUGUGAUGGAAGACAGGAAAGAAAAUGAAGCAAGUGAAACCUAACAUUUUCGUGAUAAAAUAGAAAAUGAUGUUAACACUUGAUGUUAAAUAGAAAUCAGAAGGAAUGGGAAAAGCUCUCUUCAGUGAGCCAGGUUAAUACUGAAUAUGACAGUAUGACUCCUGUUUCAGGGUUUGAAUCAUUUAGCAAGGUAAAUGUAUUACAUGUAAAAUGAUAUUGUCGGAGCUCUCCUUUGUGCCGUGCUUAUUUCUGUGUGCUCGGCUCUUGUAUUUAUUGAUGCUGUGCAAACAAUUUGUUUGGUUUGAUCUCAAUGGUGACAAACUUGCA